UACGUAGGGGGCAAGCGUUGUCCGGAAUCAUUGGGCGUAAAGCGUGUGUAGGCGGAUCGUUAAGUGCCUUGUGAAAUCCCACGGCUUAACUGUGGAACGGCUGGGCAUACUGGCGGUCUUGAGCCAUCUAGGGGCGACUGGAACAAACGGUGGAGCGGUGAAAUGCGUAGAUAUCGUUUGGAACGCCAAUGGUGAAAACAGGUCGCUGGGGAUGAGCUGACGCUGAGACACGAAAGCCAGGGGAGCAAACGGG
rnacentral:rRNA from 1 species